AUAUUGGGCAGGCUGGUCUCGAACUCCUGACCUCAAGUGAUCUGCCUGCUUCGGCCUCCCAAAGUGCUGGGAUUACAGGUGUGAGCCACCGCGCCCAGGUGCUAUAACAGUCUUUACUAGAUCUACUGGAAAAACUGCUGUUGAGUAAGUGAAAUAUAUUCAACUCCCUUUUGGAAUAAGCAAGUAAAUGAAGUUUUGAUGUUACCACUUUGGGUAAUUAAAAUUUGACAGGUUUUUGUGAACAACUUAAUCUUAGCCCAUAAAAAUAUUCUCACCAAACCAAACAAUUCUCUACCUAAAACAAGAAUGAAAAAAAGGAAAAAUAGAUACAAAA
rnacentral:lncRNA from 10 species